AAUGAACGUUGGCGGCGUGGAUUAGGCAUGCAAGUCGAGCGAGAAUCUGUCUUCGGACAGAGGACAGCGGCGAACGGGAGAGUAACGCGUGGAGUACCUGCCCUUAGACCUGGGAUAGCUGCGGGAAACUGCAGGUAAUACCGGAUAAUGUCUACGGACCAAAGGUGUGAUUCCGUCUAGGGAUGGCUCCGCGUCCUAUUAGCUUGUUGGUGAGGUAAUGGCUCACCAAGGCGACGAUGGGUACCGGGUGUGAGAGCAUGACCCGGCUCACUGGGACUGAGACACUGCCCAGACACCUACGGGUGGCUGCAGUCGAGAAUCUUCGGCAAUGGACGCAAGUCCGACCGAGCGACGCCGCGUGCGGGAUGAAGGCCUUCGGGUUGUAAACCGCUGUCAGUUGGGAGGAAAUCCGGUGGGGUUAUCCCCAUCGGUUGACCUAUCUUCAGAGGAAGUGCGGGCUAAGUUCGUGCCAGCAGCCGCCGUAA
rnacentral:rRNA from 1 species